rnacentral:rRNA from 1 species
AUGCAGUGGAAUUUGUGGUAUGGUCACUAUCGUUAUCAGUAUAGUUAUCAUGCCAUCUACCAGCACCAGCAAAGCGCGCUCUACAUCCAUUGCCGGCAUGGCUAUCUUACCAGAAUGUCCUUGUCAAAUCACACAUACAGAGUAAUUAAACUACCAGGUGCCAGUGAAUUCAUGGGAUAUCCCAAUAACCACCAUCUCGGGAGAUCGUUGAGAGGGGUGUAUUAUGCAAUACUUGAUGACCGGAGUCGACUUCAGGUUUGGUAUCUCAGUGAAUCAUGCGGUCGAAUAGAAUGGAUAUUAAAACAUGAUACAUGUCUUAAGACCUUUGAACAUGAUGACUAUGCUCAACAAGUGGGCAGACAAUGGAUCUUACAAGAUGUUAACUACCGUAAGUGGUGCUCUGAAGAUCCCGAGAAUCACAAAGCGACCGUGGAAGAGAAAUAUGAUUGGAACUUUGAUGAGGAUAACGUUAUUGACACUGAAAACGUCGUUGAAGAGGCUGAAGACGUCGAUGGAGAUUAUUUCCUCCUUGGGUUUCAUCCUUACAAGGAGGUUGUCUUCUUGAUUUCAUCUGCAAUAACAACCAGAGGACUGGCCUAUGACUGGAAUAUCUCAAAAUUUCAGGACUUGGGCAGUUCAAGGCCAUGGAUGGGAGCAGUUUACGAUGAACCACCAUAUGGAAAGACAGACACAUCUUUUUUCCCAUACACGCCUUGCUGGAUGGGCGAGUUUCCUGGAAAUGAAUUAGAAUCUCUAUUUGAAGACGAGAAGCUAUAUAGGGAAAAGUUGGAACAAGAAGCUCAACUUAAGGAGGAAUCCAACUGUACCUACAUGGGCGAGUACGAGCUGCGCAAGCACUGUGGGCGCGCCAAGAGGGUCAAGGACUUUGCUGCCAAGGUUCGUCGCAGACGCCACAUCGCGGCUCGGUAG